UACGGAGGGUGCAAGCGUUAUCCGGAUUCACUGGGUUUAAAGGGUGCGUAGGCGGCGCGGUAAGUCGGGUGUGAAAUCUCGGGGCUUAACUCCGAAACUGCAUUCGAUACUGCCGUGCUUGAGGACUGGAGAGGAGACUGGAAUUUACGGUGUAGCGGUGAAAUGCGUACGAUAUCGUAAGGAAGACCAGUGGCGAAGGCGGGUCUCUGGACAGUUCCUGACGCUGAGGCACGAAGGCCAGGGGAGCAAACGGG
rnacentral:rRNA from 1 species